rnacentral:piRNA from 1 species
UCUCUUUGCGCGUUAUAAUUC